CCUAGCACCCAGCUAGCUGCAGCCUGUUAGGAGGAGGAGCCAACUACAUCUCCUCUGUGUGCCAGGAAAAGGAGAAAAGGAAGAGACUUCAGAUGAUCACAGCACUAGUGGCUCAGUGAUUAGAAUGCCAUAUUGCAGGCAAACUCUACCCACAGUCUGGAGUUCGAACCAGAUGGAGCUCAAGAUUGACUCAGCCUUCCAUCCUUCUGAGUUUCUUAAGUCAUGGCACUGAGCCACUUGGACCUACUUACUUGGCUAUUUCAUUUGGAGAACUCCCAAGAAUGCUUUUGUGAUGAAGCCUGCAAAGAUCUUUGGAUAUGAGCCAUCUGAAGGAGCUAUACGAGAUGUAAAUUAACCGUGCUGCUAAUAUCUAAUAAGUCUUGAUUAAAACAUUUAAAGUAUCUCAACA